rnacentral:rRNA from 1 species
AUGAAAACUCCGAUUGAGCUUCUCUUAGGUGAAACUCCUGACUAUACCUUUUUUAAGGUGUUCGGGUGUGCCUGCUGGCCUCAUCUUCGUCCUUAUAAUGAUCGCAAACUUGAGUUUCGCUCCAAACAGUGUGUGUUCUUAGGGUAUAGUUCUCUCCAUAAAGGCUACAAGUGUCUCCAUGUCCCAACCAAUCGAGUCUACAUAUCUCGGGACGUUGUUUUUGAUGAGACUGUCUUCCCCUUUUCUGCCAUGCCUCAGUCAUCCACCACAACACCUUCUAUGCAUUCAUCUCCUCUUAUGCCUGGCCAAUUUGAAGAUGUUGCAUAUUCGCCUGUGUUGUUAUCUAAUCAUGGUGCAGGAAUUGGACGUGGAGCUCGCAUGGAACUCCUCCUUGACGGACCCGCUACGUCGCCUGUGGUGCACGUCAAUCGGCCGGUGCAUGCACCGCCUCCCGCCCUCGACCCCACACCGGGCGCCCCGUCUCCAACCGCGCCUGGGCCGGAGCCCAUGCUGGCUACUGCGACCGGGCCAGAGCCUGCGACGGCCUCCUCUGAGCAGUCUCCGUCGCCACCUCCUCGCCCGGACUCCCCUCCAUCAUCGCCCUCGCCAUCCGCGCGGGCGUCCUUGGUGCCUACUUCGCCCGGGUCUGCAGUGGCUCACACGCCGCCGGGGCCUACGUCGCCUGGCCUGCUGUCGCCUAGUCCGCCGUCGCCCGGCCCGACGUCACCCGGUCCUUCUUCACCGGAGUCCCCUGGACCAGCCUCACCUGCUCCGGACAUCCCGCCGGCCCCGGUGUUUGCUCCCCCGCGGCGUCCACACACUCGCAGCCGCAGUGGCAUUGUUCGUCCCAAGGAGCGCACCGAUAGCACGGUCACCUAUCUUGCUGCUUGCCUGGCUCAUGCUGUGGAUGAUCCAAUCGCCGAACCACGCAGUUAUCAAGCCGCUAUGAGUAUUCCACACUGGAGGGCUGCUAUGGAACAAGAAUAUCAUGCUUUUAUGAAGAAUAAGACCUGGACACUUGUUCCCCCUCUGUCUCGCAUCAACAUCAUUGAUUCGAAGUGGGUGUUCAAGGUGAAGAAACAUGCAGAUGGUUCCAUUGAGUGCUACAAAGCGCGCCUCGUGGCUAAGGGCUUUAAACAGCGUCAGGGCCUGGACUAUGAGGAUACAUUCAGCCCAGUUGUCAAGCCUACCACUAUUCGACUUCUUCUGUCUCUGGCAGUUUCUCGCGGAUGGUCUCUCCGCCAGCUUGAUGUACAGAACGCUUUUCUUCAUGGAUUGCUUGAAGAAGAGGUUUACAAGCGGCAGCCACCUGGAUUUGUUGAUCACACUCAGCCUCAUCAUCUCUGUCAUCUGACGAAGGCCAUAUAUGGACUGAAGCAGGCUCCCCGUGCCUGGCAUGCUCGCCUGGCUUCAGCUCUACGCACUCAUGGGUUCAUUCCUUCGACGGCCGAUACUUCACUGUUCUUGUUUCAGCGACCGAGUGUGACCAUGUACCUCCUUGUGUAUGUGGAUGAUAUUGUCCUGGUGAGCUCAUCUCCGACGGCUGCUGAUGCUCUAGUGACUGCACUUGGUCGUGAUUUUGCAGUUAAAGAUUUGGGACAGCUUCAUUUCUUCCUGGGUAUUGAGGUCGCUCAACAGUCUCGUGGCAGUUUGGCUCUCACCCAGAAGAAGUACUCUCUUGAUCUCUUGCGACGUGCUGAUAUGCUCAAGUGCAAGCCAUCGCCUACGCCCAUGUCCUCCACUGACACCCUUUCUGCUGCUGAUGGUGCUCUUCUCUCUCCUGAGGAUGCUACUGAGUACAGGAGUAUUGUUGGUGGCCUGCAGUAUCUGACGAUCACGCGUCCUGAUCUCUCCUUUGCGGUUAACAGGGUGUGCCAGUAUCUUCAUGCUCCCACUGAUGUACACUGGCCUACUGUGAAGCGCAUACUGCGUUAUGUGCGUCUCACUGUCUCCUUUGGUCUUCACCUGCGCCCCAGUUCCUUCGGAGUUCUUUCUGCAUUCUCUGAUGCUGAUUGGGCUGGGUGUCCAGAUGACAGGCGAUCCACGGGGGGACAUGCUGUGUUCUUGGGUCCUAAUCUGAUCGCCUAG